rnacentral:rRNA from 1 species
AUUGAACGCUGGCGGCAUGCCUUACACAUGCAAGUCGAACGGUAACAGGUCUUCGGAUGCUGACGAGUGGCGAACGGGUGAGUAAUACAUCGGAACGUGCCUAGUAGUGGGGGAUAACUACUCGAAAGAGUGGCUAAUACCGCAUGAGAUCUACGGAUGAAAGCAGGGGAUCGCAAGACCUUGUGCUACUAGAGCGGCCGAUGGCAGAUUAGGUAGUUGGUGGGAUAAAAGCUUACCAAGCCGACGAUCUGUAGCUGGGCUGAGAGGACGAUCAGCCACACGGGGACUGAGACACGGCCCAGACUCCUACGGGAGGCAGCAGUGGGGAAUUUUGGACAAUGGGCGCAAGCCUGAUCCAGCAAUGCCGCGUGCAGGAUGAAGGCCUUCGGGUUGUAAACUGCUUUUGUACGGAACGAAAAGCCCUGGGUUAAUACCCUGGGGUCAUGACGGUACCGUAAGAAUAAGCACCGGCUAACUACGUGCCAGCAGCCGCCGUAAAAC